rnacentral:rRNA from 1 species
UACAUGCCAGUCGACGCUUGUGUCGACCUGAUUGAAGAGCUGCUCAGAUAUGACGAUGGACAUUGCAAAGAGUGGCGAACGGGUGAGUAACACGUGGGAAACCUACGUCUUAGCAGGGGAUAACAUUGGAAACAGAUGAUAAUACCGUAUAACACUGACAAACCGCAUGGUUGUUAUUUAAAAGAUGGUUCUGCUAUCACUAAGAGAUGGUCCCGCGGUGCAUUAGCUAGUUGGUAAGGUAAUGGCUUACCAAGGCGAUGAUGCAUAGCCGAGUUGAGAGACUGAUCGGCCACAAUGGGACUGAGACACGGCCCAUACUCCUACGGGAGGCAGCAGUAGGGAAUCUUCCACAAUGGGCGAAAGCCUGAUGGAGCAACGCCGCGUGUGUGAUGAAGGGUUUCGGCUCGUAAAACACUGUUGUAAGAGAAGAAUGACAUUGAGAGUAACUGUUCAAUGUGUGACGGUAUCUUACCAGAAAGGAACGGCUAAAUACGUGCCAGCAGCCGCGGUAAUACGUAUGUUCCAAGCGUUAUCCGGAUUUAUUGGGCGUAAAGCGAGCGCAGACGGUUAUUUAAGUCUGAAGUGAAAGCCCUCAGCUCAACUGAGGAAUUGCUUUGGAAACUGGAUGACUUGAGUGCAGUAGAGGAAAGUGGAACUCCAUGUGUAGCGGUGAAAUGCGUAGAUAUAUGGAAGAACACCAGUGGCGAAGGCGGCUUUCUGGACUGUAACUGACGUUGAGGCUCGAAAGUGUGGGUAGCAAACAGGAUUAGAUACCCUGGUAGUCCACACCGUAAACGAUGAGUGCUAGGUGUUUGAGGGUUUCCGCCCUUAAGUGCCGCAGCUAACGCAUNAAGCACUCCGCCUGGGGAGUACGACCGCAAGGUUGAAACUCAAAGGAAUUGACGGGGACCCGCACAAGCGGUGGAGCAUGUGGUUUAAUUCGAAGCAACGCGAAGAACCUUACCAGGUCUUGACAUCCCUUGACAACUCCAGAGAUGGAGCGUUCCCUUCGGGGACAAGGUGACAGGUGGUGCAUGGUUGUCGUCAGCUCGUGUCGUGAGAUGUUGGGUUAAGUCCCGCAACGAGCGCAACCCUUAUUACUAGUUGCCAGCAUUCAGUUGGGCACUCUAGUGAGACUGCCGGUGACAAACCGGAGGAAGGUGGGGAUGACGUCAAAUCAUCAUGCCCCUUAUGACCUGGGCUACACACGUGCUACAAUGGCGUAUACAACGAGUUGCCAACCCGCGAGGGUGAGCUAAUCUCUUAAAGUACGUCUCAGUUCGGAUUGUAGGCUGCAACUCGCCUACAUGAAGUCGGAAUCGCUAGUAAUCGCGGAUCAGCACGCCGCGGUGAAUACGUUCCCGGGUCUUGUACACACCGCCCGUCACACCAUGAGAGUUUGUAACACCCAAAGCCGGUGGGGUAACCUUCGGGAGCCAGCCGUCUAAGGUGGGACAGAUGAUUAGGGUGAAGUCGUAACAAG